rnacentral:tRNA from 1 species
GAUAGAGCUCAGUUGGUAGAGUGCUUGCUUAGCAUGCACAAGGCCCUGGGUUCAAUCCCCAGCACCA